rnacentral:rRNA from 1 species
GACGUAGGAUGCAAGCGUUGUCCGGAUUUAUUGGGCGUAAAGAGUUCGUAGGUGGUUCGUUAAGUCUGAUGUUAAAGAACUGGGGCUCAACCCUGGAAGUGCAUUGGAUACUGGCGGACUUGAGUGUGGUAGAGGCAAGCGGAAUUCCAGGUGUAGCGGUGAAAUGCGUAGAUAUCUGGAAGAACACCGGUGGCGCAAGCGGCUUGCUGGGCCAUAACUGACACUGAGGAACGAAAGCUAGGGGAGCAAACGGG